AAUGGGUUGAACGUAUCAAAAUA
rnacentral:siRNA from 1 species